GGACACCUCUCCAGCGCCAGUUCGUUCCUUCACCACCUGUGAUCCCGUCGAUUCCUGCCUGCCUGCCACUCCCACGCCGCAACCCGCUCACCAGUUGUCUGUUAUCCUCGGCAUCCAGCUCUCGGUGCUACUGGCUCUCCUCACCACGCAGCUCCUACCCCGGUCUGUAGCUGCUCCACCCUGCACUACUCCUCUCUGCCAAAACCCCCUGAAUAAAACAACAUCAUAUUCAC